rnacentral:rRNA from 1 species
UACGUAGGUGGCAAGCGUUGUCCGGAUUUACUGGGCGUAAAGAGCGCGCAGGCGGUUGUGCAAGUCGCGUGUGAGAGCCCCCGGCUCAACUGGGGAGGGUCACGCGAUACUGUUCGACUUGAAGGCAGGAGAGGGAAGUGGAAUUCCCGGUGUAGUGGUGAAAUGCGUAGAUAUCGGGAGGAACACCAGUGGCGAAGGCGACUUUCUGGCCUGUUCUUGACGCUGAGGCGCGAAAGCUAGGGUAGCAAACGGG